CAUAACUCUGCCCGUUCCUUGGUGAAGUAUUAACCAGUAAACACAGUGUAGUAAUCUGACAGUCUAACCGUUAGCACAGAGGCAGCUCAGGCUAAAGUUAACCGGGUAAUAAACUAAAUAAGCUUCUAGCUCCAGUUAGCAUUUGGUUAGUUUUUAGCUCCAGUUAGCUUAAAGCUAGCUAGCUACUACUUCCUGCAAGCUUUGAGGCCGAGUAAGUCUGAAAGUUUGUGAGGCUCAGUAUUACGGCGACUUCACGCAGGCUCCAGACUACGACUCCGACUACAACGCCACCUUCGAGUACAGCUUCUACAGUAACGCCAGCAGCGAGGACCUGGACAGGUUCAGCGAGCGAUUCAUGGACGAGGAUGAUGAGGAUGGGCGGGAGGAAGAGGACACAGGAGGGCAGCAAGGGCAAGAGGAAGUGACUGUUACCAUGGCAACCACCAGAGGUGUCACUGUGAAGGGCGGUGUUCACGGUCGUAGCGCCGCAUCACCUCCUGUUUCUCUGGAAAUCAAGGCGCUGGUCUCGACUCUGAUAAUCCUGAUGGUUGUGAAUUUACAGCAGCUGUGACACUCACUGUGAGACACACACACACUGAGCAGCUGUCGUCAGGUGUGUGUGCGAUCACCUGACCCAAAGAAGGCGGAGUCACUUUAACCUCAGCAGAGAGUGUUCCCCUCCCCCCUCCUAAACAUGGCUGUCCAGGUGGAUUUCAGCCAAUCACAGAGCAUCUUUACUUCAGCAGUGGAGUUCUGAACUCAUAAAACAGAUGAACUUCAUCACAUGAGGAAUCACAUUUUUAACACCUGAAGGUGGCAGAAAGAUGACAGGACCGUGGUUUGAACAUUUUAUUAUAUCUGCUGGUAAUAAAUAUGAAGUUUAUUUAUACCAAAACUGUAGUCAACCUGUCUUCUAGAAAUGACAUUUAUAUUCAUAACAGCAGGUUAAAACUUUAAACGUUUAUAAUUCAUGAAGAAAUUAUAUUAAUUGAUCUAUUUGUUACUUUGCUAAAACACUGACACCAAAUGUAGUAAAAUAAUUUUUGUUUCCCAUGAACAUACUCAAUCUUGUAGUCAAACAUCCACAAGAUUUCAAGAAUUGUGCAUUUGUUAGAAAUUUGCACCACUGAACAUGAACUGUGUCACGCUUUUAAUUGUUCAUGUUGUGGCCUGUUUUGGAUUUCAAGAUUAAGUUGUGUUUUACUGUUUGUUGUUUUAAUUUUACUUCAAUUAUUUGAGGUAAUUAAGACAAAAAACCUGAGGGAAGGGUCUAUUUAUUAUUCCCUCAGAGAAGAAUUGGGAGUCUGCAACCAGUCAAUGAUUAUUGAUUUUUCAGUGUUCAUAAAAGCCCUUCUUAUUCCCAAAUGACUCAUGUGAAGAUAUAAGUCUUUGUCUUUCCAACAGUAACGAACUCAAACAGUUUAUUUUUGGACUUCAGCGAGCUCCUCCUCCAAACUGGAGAUUCUCCUUCAUGGAGACAGUUCGAGGUGACUUCAGGGCCUGUGUGAAAUUUUAACUAGUAUUUUAACACUCAAAAAAACCCCAAAACCAGAAAAUAUAGUUCCACUGUAACGCAAAAAUGUUGGGUUUUGUAGGUCCUUAGUGGCCAAGAAGACCGACUAAAACUAUGCAGCCACCUUGUUUAACCCACUGAACCCCGAGAAGAUGUUUUUUUGUUCAUGUCACAUUUGAAUUGACUGUGGGCUCAUUUUUCACUGCAGUAUAAAGUUCUGCACCUCUAUGGAAACAGAACAACCAUGAUUGAAUUAGAGAGGACUCAGAAGUCUCUCCUGUGCAGUUUGACACAAUUAUAAUGCCACGAAUAAAAGACAAUAUAGUUUAUUGCUUAUUUAAAAAAAUAAAAAAACUGGAAUCAACUUUUUUUUCCAUCCCCAAAUGUACAGCUUACCAAUACUGGAAAAAUAAAUGUGAACUCAACACAUUAAAGAUUUUACUUCUUAUAUUUUUAAUUAGUUUUCAUACUUGCCUCCUCUCUGCUCUGUGUUAACACUGCCUGCAGUUCAACCGAAUAGUCUCUAAAUUUUAAUCACGUGACUGUUGGUCACAGCUGAGUCACUAAUGGCUUCGCACUUGCACUGGAGAAGCAGAAUUUUUGUUAUUUUACAGAUUCUUGCUGGAGCAAACAAUUUAUUUUAAACAUAUUUUUACAUGAGACAUGUAGAAUAAAGUGAUUUUGAUAAGAUAUCAUAAUUUUAAGGUAAGAUAUGAUUAAUUUUCAUGACAGAAACUUAUCAAAGACAAUUCAAGGAUGCCCUGAAAGUUGAAAAUCUGAAGAUUGUGUCUGUUUUCACAGUUUCUGGCUGAUAAUAGUGUUAUUUUUGUAAUUAAAAAACAAACAAACAAACAAACAAACUUGACUUUCAAACCCACCAGGAAGUUUUGGGUUUCAGAGGGUCAAGCAAAAAUAAAUUAUGGAAAUGUUUUUUUUUUAACUACUAUUAAGGACUGAACUCUAGUUUUGAUAUAAAUAAACUUCCGUACUAUUGAUCAUAAAUAAAGAACAGUAGAAGCCUUUAACGUUAAGGGCUGCUAACAGAUUCUGAUGGUGACGACAUAUUUUUUAUAAAACAAUCCAGAUCCUCUAAACUAAGAGCACAUGAACGUCCUGUUGUGUCUGUAAAUGUGAUUCUCUCUCUGUUAGUUUGCUUUUUAUUUUAUAAACUUCACUUCUCCACAGUUUCUCUUGGAACAUUUUCACAUAUGCAGUCUCACGGUGAAUCAAACACCAGCACUUUUGUCGGCGAGUAGCACUUACAGUAUUUAGUUCUGUUGUUCUGUAGAGAAAAUAAACGCUAAAAUAAAGACACAUCAUAAAGAUGACCGUAAAUGAAACUGGGCAUCAAAAAUCAUUCAGUUUAUAUUUUAAAGCAUUCACUGCCUUGUCCUGUUAAAGCCCAUCAGUUUGUCAGAAAGUGUUAAUAAACAGAUGAAAUUUAAACGUUUAUUUUGAUAUUUUAAAACUGCAAACACGACAACAGCAAGAGAAGAAACAAAGUAAAAACUUUUUAAAAGGGUUUUUAUGCAGUAUAAAGAGAAAAAAACUAAUGAAUGUGACAGGAAAAACUUUUAGAACAAUUUGAACAGAUGUUGUUUAUUAGCUUUAUUGUUUAUAUUUGUUUGUGUUUUGCAAUAAAAGAUAGAAAAAUU
ensembl:lncRNA